rnacentral:rRNA from 1 species
GUAAGGAAUAUUGGUCAAUGGACGCAAGUCUGAACCAGCCAUGCCGCGUGGAGGAUGAAGGCCCUCUGGGUUGUAAACUUCUUUUCUUUGGGACGAAACCCCUAUUUCUAUGGGGACUGACGGUACCAGAGGAAUAAGCACCGGCUAACUCCGUGCCAGCAGCCGCGGUAAUACGGAGGGUGCAAGCGUUGUCCGGAUUUACUGGGCGUAAAGAGCGCGCAGGCGGCUGGUCAAGUCCGAUGUGAAAUCUCCCGGCUCAACUGGGAAACUGCAUCGGAAACUGAUCGGCUUGAAGGUGGGAGAGGGUAGUGGAAUUCCCGGUGUAGUGGUGAAAUGCGUAGAUAUCGGGAGGAACACCAGUGGCGAAGGCGACUACCUGGCCCAUUCUUGACGCUGAGGCGCGAAAGCUAGGGGAGCGAACGGGAUUAGAUACCCUGGUAGUCC